ACCAUAGCGCAGUUGCUAGAGCAUGAGACUCUUAAUCUCAGGGUUGUGGGUUUGAGCCCGAUGUUGGGCA